UGCUGGGGCAAUGCAGAGGUGGGUACAGCUCUGAUCUAUUUGUAGUGACGGGAAGGCUGCAGCCGAAUCACAUUAUGAGAGAUGCACACGGCGCUGGUCGGAGCUCUGAGCAAAGCCCCCUUUGCUUUUCCCUGUGCUUGCCCUGCAGUGGGCACAAGCACUCGGGAAAUCAGCAAAGAGACUGAGGAAGCUGGAGAGUCCCAGGAAACCUGCGGAGCUGGGAAGCAGGAAGGAGUGGGGGCCAUACAGAGUGGGGGGCUCCAGAACACUCCCAGUUUCCAACAUCCAGAUGGGGCCGAUGGAAGCCGGAGUUGCCCAGCACCCCUCAGGAUCAAGGUCUUUAAUUGUAAGAGUAACUACAGUGGACUGGAAAUCAAGGAUAUCCAUGAAUAAGAACUGCUUAAUUCAGAUGACUAGAUAUGGGAAGACAGAGAAUAAUACAUAAGAAGGGAAGGAGAAACAUGCUGAGCUGAAGCCACUCAAAAGGCCAACUUCUUUUUUCAGUCACUUUGCAUUGCGCUCCAAAUUGCAUCCAUUAGUUGAAACAUUUAUUUUACUAAUCCAGCACCAACUGGCUUUUCUUACAGUCAGCAGAGUAUUUUCAUGUGAACAGAGAAUUUGUGGAACUGGAUGGAAGGAUGGACCUGAAGACUUCAGUCCACUUCAUAAACUCAGGUACAGCAUGAGUUCAGUAGUGCGUGUCACACACAGACUGUCCUCAUAUUUGUACUGGUAUUGUCAACAGUACUAAGAGGCUCCUACAUCUUUUAGAGUCAUCUCUAUAUUGAUGAGGCAGAGCUAGGACAGAAAGUUAUUGUAAAAGGAUUACCUUAAUGAGAGAGCCACCUGCAGUCUUCAGGUCCCACUGAAAGUGGGGAUGAUUGUGGAGAGUACACAAAGACCCCAGCGCACAUGUGCAGUGUCAGAGGUUUGUGAGAGGAAGAGUUUGGGGGCAGCAUUGAUCCCUGUCAGUGAAACAUGGGGCUCCCUCAAGUCCUGCCUUGAGCCAUUCUCUUCCAUCCCCCUUUCCCUUGUACUGCUUCCCCCAGCCAUCUGCAGGAGCAACCUUGAGACGUCCCUGCCUUUCCAAAAAUCUUGCCAGUGCUACUGCAUCAAACUCAUGGUGCUG
rnacentral:lncRNA from 1 species